GAUACACUUUAAACCACAGGGUAC
rnacentral:miRNA from 1 species